rnacentral:rRNA from 1 species
UACGAAGGGGGCUAGCGUUGCUCGGAAUCACUGGGCGUAAAGCGCACGUAGGCGGAUCUUUAAGUCAGGGGUGAAAUCCCAAGGCUCAACCUUGGAACUGCCUUUGAUACUGGGGAUCUCGAGUCCGGAAGAGGUGAGUGGAACUGCGAGUGUAGAGGUGAAAUUCGUAGAUAUUCGCAAGAACACCAGUGGCGAAGGCGGCUCACUGGUCCGGAACUGACGCUGAGGUGCGAAAGCGUGGGGAGCGAAC